CGUGUAGGCGGUAUGGUAAGUCAGAUGUGAAAGCCCUGGGCUUAACCUAGGAAGUGCAUUUGAUACUGCCAUUCUUGAGUAUGGGAGAGGAGAGUGGAAUUCCCAGUGUAGAGGUGAAAUUCGUAGAUAUUGGGAGGAACAUCCGUGGCGAAGGCGACUCUCUGGACCAAUACUGACGCUGAGACGUGAAAGCGUGGGUAGCAAACA
rnacentral:rRNA from 1 species